UACGUAGGGUGCAAGCGUUAUCCGGAAUUAUUGGGCGUAAAGAGCUCGUAGGCGGCUUGUCGCGUCUGCUGUGAAAACUGGAGGCUCAACCUCCAGCCUGCAGUGGGUACGGGCAGACUAGAGUGCGGUAGGGGAGAUUGGAAUUCCUGGUGUAGCGGUGGAAUGCGCAGAUAUCAGGAGGAACACCGAUGGCGAAGGCAGAUCUCUGGGCCGUAACUGACGCUGAGGAGCGAAAGCAUGGGGAGCGAACAGG
rnacentral:rRNA from 1 species